rnacentral:tRNA from 1 species
GGGUCUGUAGCUCCGCUGGUUAGAGCAAUCGACUCAUAAUUGAUUGGUCCACGGUUCAAGUCCGUGCAGGCCACC